GAACGCACAUUGCGCCCUUCGGUAUUCCGUAGGGCAUGCCUGUUCGAGCGUCAUUUAAACCUUCAAGCUCUGCUUGGUGUUGGGUGUCUGUCUCGCCUCCGUGCGUGGACUCGCCUUAAAAUCAUUGGCAGCCGGUAGUUUGGCUUCGUGCGCAGCAGAAUACGCGUGUGAGACUGGGCGAUCGGCUCUCCAUAAGCCUCUUUUUAGUUUGACCUCGGAUCAGGUAGGGAUACCCGCUGAACUUAAG
rnacentral:misc_RNA from 1 species